GCCUAGUUGGUAGAGCAUGGUGCUUGCAAUGCCAGGGUUGUGGGUUCAAUUCCCAC
rnacentral:tRNA from 1 species